GUACAUGCUGUGAACGAGAAGGAAACAGACAGGAAGCUUCAGAGAGCCGGCGUAUGGUGAAAGCCGGUGCGGAAAAUCUGCGGACUAUCACUCGUGAGCUUCCUGAUUGAAAGAAUUUCCGUAAAUCAGGACGGAAGUCCCCGUUACAGGACAGGCCUUCAGAGUAUAAUGCAGGGUGGUACCGCGAUUUCGCCCCUGUC
rnacentral:ncRNA from 1 species